UGGGCUACCAAGGGAGUCAGGAGCUGACCAGUGAAGAAGAUCCCAGCCUUGUUCAGACGAAGAGGCGGAAGCAGAACAAGGUGUGCAUUCUCCAGAUGAGGAAAAAUGAGGUGAAAGAGGAAGACAAGGAGGACAAGGAGGAUGAGGAAGAGGAGGAGGACCAGAGAGAGGGGCCCCCUACCUCUUUGCAAUCACCUAGGACAGGACAGAGGCAAUGCCCGUACUCAAGAAUCCGCCAAGUGAGGCACAAGGAGCACCUGAGCAUCUUGGAAAGUAGCUUGAGCUUAUCCACCAAUGAAACCAAGUUGUCUGUCCAUGUUUUUGCCAAUACUUAUGUAGCUGCUGCCACAGGAAGCAGAAGUCAGUGGAGGAAAACAAGGCAUCCGACUCUGGAGCAAGGAGGAGCCCGGGUGAGACUGACUCAGCUGUGAGCUU
rnacentral:lncRNA from 1 species